CAAUGAACAAUGGAGAAAGAUGAGGAUACUGAGAAUCGGCAACAUCCGAGUGGUAAAAAGACGGAUACUCAUCUUUCUCUGGGAGGGAGAAAAAGGACGACAUAUAUAUACGUAUUGGUCGCCAUUUUGCGCGUGGUACCUUUGGCUGCAUCGGCUGUGAUAUCUUCGGAAGUUUCUGUGACGGUAUAUUUAGUGGUUCUUCUGCCGUUUUGUAGUGGUUCUUUAGCGAUUCUUUUUCUGCUGUUCUUCUGUUGUCGUGUCCAUUGCUGAACCUAGUUCUCCAACCUAAGAAAAACUCCUGUAUGACUACUUUCAAAAUUCUACAGCAAAUAAGGACUAAAGACUGUG
rnacentral:lncRNA from 1 species